ACUGGGCGUAAGCGCAUGCAGGUGGUUUGUUAAGUCAGAUGUGAAAGCCCGGGGCUCAACCUCGGAAUUGCAUUUGAAACUGGCAGACUAGAGUACUGUAGAGGGGGGUAGAAUUUCAGGUGUAGCGGUGAAAUGCGUAGAGAUCUGAAGGAAUACCGGUGGCGAAGGCGGCCCCCUGGACAGAUACUGACACUCAGAUGCGAAAGCGUGGGGAGCAAACAGGAUUAGAUACCCUGGUAGUCCACGCCGUAAACGAUGUCUACUUGGAGGUUGUGGCCUUGAGCCGUGGCUUUCGGAGCUAACGCGUUAAGUAGACCGCCUGGGGAGUACGGUCGCAAGAUUAAAACUCAAAUGAAUUGACGGGGGCCCGCACAAGCGGUGGAGCAUGUGGUUUAAUUCGAUGCAACGCGAAGAACCUUACCUACUCUUGACAUCCAGAGAACUUUCCAGAGAUGGAUUGGUGCCUUCGGGAACUCUGAGACAGGUGCUGCAUGGCUGUCGUCAGCUCGUGUUGUGAAAUGUUGGGUUAAGUCCCGCAACGAGCCGCAACCC
rnacentral:rRNA from 1 species